UACAGAGGUCCCGAGCGUUGCUCGGAAUCACUGGGCGUAAAGGGUGCGUAGGCGGGGCUUUAAGUCAGGGGUGAAAUCCUGGAGCUCAACUCCAGAACUGCCUUUGAUACUGAAGAUCUUGAGUUCGGGAGAGGUGAGUGGAACUGCGAGUGUAGAGGUGAAAUUCGUAGAUAUUCGCAAGAACACCAGUGGCGAAGGCGGCUCACUGGCCCGAUACUGACGCUGAGGCACGAAAGCGUGGGGAGCAAACAGG
rnacentral:rRNA from 1 species